rnacentral:rRNA from 1 species
UACGUAGGUGGCAAGCGUUGUCCGGAUUUACUGGGCGUAAAGAGCGCGCAGGCGGUCGGAUAAGUCGAAUGUGAAAGCCCCCGGCUCAACUGGGGAGGGUCAUUCGAUACUGUUCGACUCGAAGGCAGGAGAGGGUAGUGGAAUUCCCGGUGUAGUGGUGAAAUGCGUAGAUAUCGGGAGGAACACCAGUGGCGAAGGCGACUUCCUGGCCUGUUCUUGACGCUGAGGCGCGAAAGCUAGGGGAGCAAACGGG